rnacentral:rRNA from 1 species
AAUACAUGCAAGUCGAGCGAACGGACGAGAAGCUUGCUUCUCUGAUGUUAGCGGCGGACGGGUGAGUAACACGUGGAUAACCUACCUAUAAGACUGGGAUAACUUCGGGAAACCGGAGCUAAUACCGGAUAAUAUUUUGAACCGCAUGGUUCAAAAGUGAAAGACAGUCUUGCUGUCACUUAUAGAUGGAUCCGCGCUGCAUUAGCUAGUUGGUAAGGUAACGGCUUACCAAGGCAACGAUGCAUAGCCGACCUGAGAGGGUGAUCGGCCACACUGGAACUGAGACACGGUCCAGACCCCUACGGGAGGCAGCAGUAGGGAAUCUUCCGCAAUGGGCGAAAGCCUGACGGAGCAACGCCGCGUGAGUGAUGAAGGUCUUCGGAUCGUAAAACUCUGUUAUUAGGGAAGAACAUAUGUGUAAGUAACUGUGCACAUCUUGACGGUACCUAAUCAGAAAGCCACGGCUAACUACGUGCCAGCAGCCGCGGUAAUACGUAGGUGGCAAGCGUUAUCCGGAAUUAUUGGGCGUAAAGCGCGCGUAGGCGGUUUUUUAAGUCUGAUGUGAAAGCCCACGGCUCAACCGUGGAGGGUCAUUGGAAACUGGAAAACUUGAGUGCAGAAGAGGAAAGUGGAAUUCCAUGUGUAGCGGUGAAAUGCGCAGAGAUAUGGAGGAACACCAGUGGCGAAGGCGACUUUCUGGUCUGUAACUGACGCUGAUGUGC